AAUGAACGCUGGCGGCAUGCCUAACACAUGCAAGUCGAACGAGACCACCGGGUGUAGUGGCGCAUGGGUGCGUCACGCGUCGGAAGCUUCCCUUAUGUUUGGAAUACCUCUCCGACAGGGGUGCUAACGCCGGAUAAUGUCUUCUAACCAAAGAUAUAUCGAGCUUGGAUGGGCCGGCGUUGGAUUAGCUUGUUGGUAGGGUAAUAGCCUACCACGGCGACGAUCCAUAGCUGGUUAGAGAGGAUGAUCAGCCACACUGGGACGGAGACACGGCCGGGAAUCCUACGGGAGGCAGCAGAGGGGAAUGUUGGACAGUGGGCGGAGGGCUGAACGAGCAAUGCCGGGUAAGUGAUGAAGGCCGGAAAGUAGAAAAGCUCUAUUACCCGGGAUGAUAUUGACAGUACCGGAAGAAUAAGCUCCGGCUAACUCCGUG
rnacentral:rRNA from 1 species